UACGGGGGGGGCAAGCGUUGUUCGGAAUUACUGGGCGUAAAGGGCGCGUAGGCGGGUGGACAAGUCUCUCGUGAAAGCCCACGGCUCAACCGUGGAAUUGCGGGAGAUACUGUCUGUCUUGAGUCCGGGAGAGGAGUGUGGAAUUCCCAGUGUAGCGGUGAAAUGCGUAGAUAUUGGGAGGAGCACCGGUGGCGACGGCGGCUCUCUGGACCGGUACUGACGCUGAGGCGCGAAAGCUAGGGGAGCAAACGGG
rnacentral:rRNA from 1 species